GCAGUGAUGGUUCAGUGGUACAAUUCUCACCUCCCGUGCGGGAGACCUGGGUUUGAUUCCUGGCCAAUGCA
rfam:Loxodonta africana unplaced genomic scaffold scaffold_1, whole genome shotgun sequence.